rnacentral:lncRNA from 1 species
AGGUGACUGAGGGGAGGGGAGGGGGAGGUUGGGAGGGAGCCGCCGCCGCGCGCGUGCGGGCCGGCGCCGCCGCCGUUGCCGCUCCGCUCACUCCAGCCUGUUUGGGGGCACUUUGUUUGUGUCCCACAAUGCUCUGCGCCGGCGGCCUGGCUGGGGAAGGGGAGGAGAAGGGGGCGGGGCGGAGCGAGCUCGGGGGCGGGGCUCGGGGCGGGGAAGGAAACGUGAUGAUUGCGCAAGCGCAGAAAAUGGGCCCUCUUGGCCGUCGGGACUUGCACUGUUGGUGACUCCGUCUCCUUAGACGGUGGAGCCUGCGUGACCCAGAAAGGCCGCCUCGGGACCCAGACCAGGAUUUCCAUCAGCUCCCCUGGCUUGCAGGCCUUCUGACUUCUGACUCACCAUCAGCUCUCCUGGAUCCAGCUUGCCAAUGGCAGAUCGUGGGACUCCUUGGCCUCUAAUCGCAUGAAACAAUGCCCACGAGAGAAAAUAAAAGCAGUCAGAGGAGAGUGGAGAAUUUCCCCUAUUCCCCAGCAUGUGGAGCCACGGACUCUGCCUUCUCCGAGUCAAGAUGGGGCAGGUCUCACUAUGUUGCCCAUUCUGGUCUUGAACUCUUGGACUCAAGCAAUCCUCCCACCUCGGCCUUCCAAAGUGCUGGAAUCACAGGCUUGAGAUACCAUGCCCAGCCAAUUUAUUGUGGUACAAUCUAAUCCAAAAGGUCAAGAUAAGGACAUUCUAAAUCAAAAAAGAGCUUUAGAAAACCAACAUUUUCCUCCCGAUAUGAAAAGAAGAUCUGGGGCUGAUUAGAGCUGUGACAUCGUUGGAUAAUGACCUUUUACACCUUUCCAGCCAAAGACACCAGGGAUAAAACCAAGACCUUGCCAUAUUGAGAAGUUAGGCCAGGGGGAUUUUCACCUUGCUACAGAAAAAGAAAGGCUGAUGAUCAGGAAUAGAACGGAUCUAAUUUAGGUUCUUGGCUAUUUAGAGGUGAAUAAGCAGGCUCCAUAUGUUUAUAUGGCCUUUCUUCCUACUCAUUAUUAGAAAAUCUUCUUUGGGAAACAGUGUGCCAAGUGGGGAGGUGCCAAUGCUAGAAGAAUGGGUACCAGAAAAUAAGAGCAAUAAGAGCUAAGAGUGGGAAAUACAUAUCACCAUGAUUGAUUUAACCUCUCCCGGCCUCUGUUCUUUCGUCUGUAGUGUGGGAACAACACUAUCUACUGAAGACAGUUAGAACCCUUUUUCUUUAAUAGAGAUGUGGUCUUGCUAUAUUGCCCAGGCUGGCCUCGAACUCCUAGCCUCAAGCGAUCCUCCCACCUCGGCCUCCCAAAAUGUUGGGAUUACA